rnacentral:lncRNA from 1 species
UGGCUGAAAAUGGAUGUGGUGCAGUGGACAGCAAGAGUUCCGGGGGGCGAACCCCAUUACCAGGAGUCUCCCUCAGGCUGCUCGCCUGGAAAUGGGAUGUAUGGUCAAUUCCACUCUACGGCAUCCCAAGGUCUGGUCCCAAUCUCCCAGCACUCCUGCAAGAACCCCUUAGUGUUCAUCCCUUUCCCAUCCUCCAAACCUGAGCCAAGACUGUAGCCAGCCCUGGAGCUGCCAGGGUCUCUGAAUUAGACCAAAUCUCGGGGACAUCUCUGCUCUUAUGACUAAUGACCAACAUCCAUGGGAAGAGUCAGACUGUGGCGAGAGGACCAAAGGGCCCGGGAAAGCAGAGUCUGUCCUGGGAACAAUGGGGUGACUGGAACAUUUAGGCCCCCUUCCACCCACCUAGGAAGCCAUCCCUAGUAGAUACAUGAAGCAAGAUCUGGUGGGCUCUUCCAUGUAGUGGAGGAGGCUAGGGCGUGAGGUGGGUGUAGGGGGGAGGGGAGGAAACUGGGACUGGAGGUCUUAGCCUAAGGACCUCCUUCCUGUUUGUAGGGAAGCGACUGCCUCAGAAAGCUGCUGGGGGAGAGGAGGGAGGCCAUGGUGACUUCCGGGAAGAAGGCCCAACCUCCCUGUGCCCACAUGGGAUUCUCCAGUCCUGGCUUAAAAUAGUGCAACUCUGCCAUUGAUGCUGGACCCAGCCUGAACCUCGAAGGGUUGCAACCAUGGUUUGUGCUGCCAGUAGGAGCGGUGGUUAUGUGUGAGGGUCUACCCAGCUAUCUAGUUCAAAUCAGACUGUGCCCCGUGGCCACAGGGACUAAAACAAACAAACAAACAAACAAACAACCCCACAGAUCCUAGACCUGAAGCUUUGGAUGCAAGUUUCAGCUCUUGCACUGAUCAGCUUCGAGACUUUGGUCUGGUGCCUGCCUGGCUUUCAACCAAAAUGAAGACAGUGGCAUGGCACGGUCUGGUGCCUUUUAACCAAAUGAAGACAGAGCCUUGCCAGACAUAAAGUGGGUGCACAGA